CCUGCGUAGACACACUGGCACCGUCCCACCUCCAACGGACUACUGUAAAAGCGGGCGGAGCGGCGGAAAGCGCCGAAAUUCUAAAACGUAACAAAUAUAAGAGCCUCGGUAGAGAGUACCAUUUUGUACCAUUUGGUGUUGAAACUCUAGGUCCAUGGGGUCCCAGCGCGCAUAAGUUGUUCGCAGAAAUCGCGAAGCGUCUGGUUGACGUAACUGGUGACCGAAGAGCUGGCGGCUACCUCGCACAACGUAUCAGCAUUGCGAUACAGCGAGGAAAUGCCGCCAGCAUCCUUGGUACAAUGCCUCAAGGGCCUAUUUUAGAUUUAAGCUAAUUAUUAAUUUCUCAUAUAUAUUUUUUAUUUGUAUGUCUUUCCCAUCACGGAACAAUGGUGUUCCGGACCUUUGGGAGGCGUGCGCGGAGCCGAAGCCAACACGUAGAGGCCCUUUUGACACUUUAAUGAAAUACGGUGACUCGCCCUCACAAGAUGGGCCCCCACAAAAAGCGACAUCUAGGAUGGCUCAAGGGCAACACCGGUGUGAGCGGCUCAGGGGUGUCGAGAGGUGUGCGCCGCUUUCUACCCAGUGGCUGUUAACAGCCACUGUGCCAACUCGCGUCUUAUGCAUAUUUCACUUCCACCCCUGGAGCUUAUAGCUCUAACGACUCCACUCUGGCCGGCCGGCUAAGGCAAGCCAGAGGCAGAGAAUCCUGUCCCACCUAUUUUUUAUUAUUAUUAUUUAACAGGACCUUUAUACAAUUGUACAUAUCGGCCAUAUAUUUUUUGAGAAUGACAGAUUACACGGGCAUUAAUUGCAUUUAUAUCACCUACCUAUCUAUAUCUACAGCUACCACCAGUGGUUUAAACAGGAGUAAAAAUCCCGUAUAGC